rnacentral:rRNA from 1 species
UUUAACUUGAGAGUUUGAUCCUGGCUCAGAAUCAACGCUGGCGGCGUGCCUAACACAUGCAAGUCGAACGCGAAAGUGGAGCAAUCCAUGAGUAGAGUGGCAAACGGGUGAGUAACACGUGGGCGACCUACCUCAGAGUGGGGGAUAACCUUCCGAAAGGAGGGCUAAUACCGCAUGACAUGCCGUGUUUGGAUACACGGACAUCAAAGCCGGGGAUCGCAAGACCUGGCGCUUGGAGAGGGGCCCGCGUCCGAUUAGCUAGUUGGUGAGGUAACGGCUCACCAAGGCUCCGAUCGGUAUCCGGCCUGAGAGGGCGGACGGACACACUGGAACUGAGACACGGUCCAGACUCCUACGGGAGGCAGCAGUGGGGAAUUGUUCGCAA